rnacentral:rRNA from 1 species
AGGACGAACGCUGGCGGCGUGCUUAACACAUGCAAGUCGAGCGGAAAGGCCCUUCGGGGUACUCGAGCGGCGAACGGGUGAGUAACACGUGAGCAAUCUGCCCCUAGCUUCGGGAUAGCUCCGGGAAACCGGAAUUAAUACCGAAUAUGACUUCGGCUGACAUCAGCUGCGGUGGAAAGUUUUUCGGCUAGGGAUGAGCUCGCGGCCUAUCAGCUUGUUGGUGGGGUAACGGCCUACCAAGGCGACG